AGAUGGAGUUGUCUGUGGAUUAUGUACGUAUUGUCAGAGACAUUCAUGCAAAAUAAUGGGUUUGGUGGUGACAGGGUUACAGCCACAACAAGAAAGUGAGAUACAGUUAGUGGAAUUCUCAAGUGCUCUCUUAGGAUGAAUAAACCUUAAGAAAGAACACCCUGCUUUUGUAACAGAUGAAGAAAGGCUAUGGAAGAGACAGAUUCUGGAGGAUGCAGCAUUCAAGGUUCUAUCUUGGAAGCAGAGACUGUGCCCUCACCAGAUGCUGAACCUGCUGAGCACCCUGAUCUUCCACUUCACCUUCAUCAGAACUGGUGCUAAGAAUUCUGAAUUUAUUGAGGAAAUAAAUGUCUGAUUGCAACAAAAGAAAACUUGUCUGGCUUUGGGAAGGAAGAGGCUUAGGAAAAAAAUUAAAGGCGUCUUUACUAGAAGUUCAAGACUGGGGCUGUGGCUGAGAUGUCACAUGGCAGAUAGGAUCACAAAUUUCUGUUGUAUCUGGAUGGAGAUCAGCAGGAGGAUCUAUGGGUGAGAAGAAGCACAGUUACAGAUGGAUUCUAGAGCCUGCUUGCUGACACAGGCUUGCAACUGCGGACUUUAUAAGCUUAGUUUUUAAUCUGCUAUCAGCUAGCAUAAUACCAUAAAUGCAUAAGAAACUAAGUAUUCAGUCUUACGAGAAAUGCUAUCUUGACCUGACCCUUUCUCCAAAUAAAUUGACAAAAUAUCUCAUCGUCUAGGAUGCCAGACAGAAAUACCAGUUGCAAUGUUUUGUUGCAUAAAGUUUAUCCUAAUUUAAAUUAGUGGCAUAUAAAGUCAUCAUCUUGCUUGAACAAACAUCUUAUUAAAUUGAGCAUGUCUUUUAUCCCAUGAAAUGAAAUUAAUUUUGAGAUAGUUAUUUUUCAGUUGGAAAUUUAUUGAGUUGAUAGAAAACAAGUUAUAUAGUCUUCCAAAGAAUAUGUUACAUCCAUUUGCAUUUUGUUUUUCUUCAGCAAUGUUUGGUUUUUAGAAAAUCUUACAAGUUAAAUAUACUAAUGUAGAAAUUGAAAGAAAAUAAUCAGAGAUAGAGCAAUAAAUUUGCAAAUAAAGAUUAUUCUUAAAACAAA
rnacentral:lncRNA from 1 species